CCCUAUUCCCUAUAUAUAGUGCACUACUUUAGACCAGAGCCCUAUUCCCUAUAUAGUGCACUACUUUAGACCAGAGCCCUAUGGCACCCUAUUCCCUAUAUAGUGCACUACUUUAGACCAGGGCCCUAUAGAACCCUAUUCCCUAUAUAGUGCACUACUUGCGCUGGGUAAGUAGUGUAUAAAUGUGUCUUAACAGAUAAGCUACUGGUCGGUGGGAUGUGAUUUCAGCUACAGCGCUUGUUGUUGGUGAUGAUGGAUCUAUACAGGAAGCUAGCUCAUCCAUGAAGAGACCUGGGCCCCUAUUCAGAAACCACCUUAGAGUUGGAGUGCUGAUCUAGGAUCAACUUCCCGUUGUCCAUGUCCAAAAGAACAAUCCUUCAUCACAAAUACAGGCCCCUGGUGGGUUGAAACAGAUGUCUUGACACAACGUCCCUCUGGCCAGGUGUGUUAAAUCUUACCUGACCUGUCAUGUCAUAAGAAAUCUAAAUUCAAAAACAAAUAAUCAAAUGAAUAUACUUCAUUGAAGAUGACACAAUAUAAAGAUAUAGUAUUAUACUGUAUUACCAAUAUGAUUUUGCCAUACAUGAGUACAGUGUACUGUUUUAGCUUAUUUAUAAUGCACCAGCCAUCCUUUAUAGUGACACCAGCAUAGUACGUGUAGUUUAGCGCUGUAUAUAUGAACUGCUUAAUGCUCUGAUGCUGGUUGCAGCUGGUUGCAACUGGUUCCAACUGGUUCCAACUGGUUUCAACUGGUUCCAACUGGUUCCAACUGGUUCCAACUGGUUUCAACUGGUUCCAACUGGUUCCAACUGGUUUCAACUGGUUCCAAUUGGUUCCAACUGGUUUCAACUGGUUCCAAUUGGUUCCAACUGGUUUCAACUGGUUCCAACUGGUUUCACCUGGUUUCAACUGGUUCCAACUGGUUCCACCUGGUUCCAACUGGUUCAAACUGGUAUAGAAACUCAUUACAUGUUACUGUGUAGCUUCAUUUUGUAACAAUCUAUGUUCCUUUUUUAUGUUAUUUCUGUAACUCUUUAUUACUGUAUCAUGUAUGUUGUAUCAUUAAUAUGUAAACGUUGUUUUAUGAAAUUCUAUGCCAAUCAAAAUCACUAUUCUCCUUUUACCUGUUUCACUGAGAAAGAAAACACAUGGGUGUGCGCACACGCACACACACACACACACGCACGCACGCACACACACACACACAGGACUUUCUGAUUAAAACUUUACAAUGAAACGAUCAAAUCACUCAUUUUGAAAUACAUUUAUCUUCUUCCUCUAAUUGUUAUGGCUUAAAGCCCUUCAGAACACUAAAAUACUUGAUGAACAUUGAAUCACUUUGUAAAGCAUAUUGACCCUCUCCCUCAUUCACCUCCAUACUAUUCCUGUUCUAAAAGUUCUCCCUAUAAAUCUGUGUGCUUUUUAGUCGAACCUCUUAGUUUGUUUUUAAUACAUGAUCUUGGCAUUUAUUUUUUAAGUCUUUGUUGUUUUCGUGUUUUUUGUUUUGAAGAGCAUGUUGUCAUAAUAUGAAUGCAUGCAGUAAAUUAAAUAUUGAUUGAAAACAAAA